UGUAAAGGGAAGUGGUUUUUUAAAAUGGUUAAUGUUUUAACUAUGUUUUUAUCUAUGUUGGAAGCUGCCCAGAGUGGCUGGGGCAACCCUGUAAGAUGUGUGGGUUAAAACUAGUAAAAUUGUCAUUAUGGAAUGGGAUGUCCCUAUUUUCAUCUGAGAAAUGUUGGAGGGUAUGUCCUUGGUGCAGGGGAGCCAGGUAUUUCCCCCUCAAUUUAGCUUCCACAGUGUUGGGCUAGGAGACUAGGGUUAAAAUCCCUGCUCAGCCAUGAGGCUCACUGGGGCCAGUCAAAGCCUCUCAGCCUAAACUACCUCCCAGUGUUUUUGUGAAGAUAAAAAACAGAGGAGAACCAUGUGUGCCACCUUGAGCUCAUUGGAGACAAGUGGGAUAGAAAUGUGGCAAAUAAAUUUCACCUUUUCCCAACAUUCCACACCUGACACACAAUCUGUUUGCUAGCACAUUGAUUGCAGCUGCUAGCAUGUAUGUCAUUUUAAGACUGGUGACAAGUGACUCUUUCCCCUCAUGCUACUUUGUGAACUUCUAAAACGAACAUGGGUGUAGACAGGGAGGGGCAGCUGCCCCCAAAAUCAAUAAAAAUACAUAGCUAACUGUGGUUCUGCACCCCCUAACAAAAGGCCUGCCCCCAUCAAAUCCUCGCUAAGCCCAUGAAAAAGAAUGUCUGCUGCAUCACCACAGUGAAAAAGUGUCUAAAGUGUGUAGAGCAAAACACCAAGACACACCAGCAGCUGCCAACAAUUUUGGCAACCUUUUGCUUUUGUUUUUUAAAGCUCUUAAAACACUGUGCUGACCUCUCCUAUACUCAAGUGCAUAUCUUCCAUAAAUUAAGGCUGUGUGUGAGAGAAAGAGAAGCAGAAAAUGCAAGUAUGGCUGUUCCUCAACUGUGGGCCUUAUCCCCCUUCCCCCAUCUCUAUUACAUACAGCCAAUUAUCUCUUGAUUCUAGCUCUGAACUGGCAUAGUAGAGCACUAAAGUCUAAAGUCCAAGUUUGUCCACUUGCAGAAAUGUCUCUGGUUUCUCUUACCAGUCCUCCUACUUUAACAAGUGAAUGUACCAUCCAAAGGUUAAACCAACAAAAAGUUUGCCUAUCUGCUUUUAAAGACUUCCACUGACAUCACCUGGUGUAUGUUUGGCAGUAAGUUACAUGAAUUUCAGUGGGCCUUAUUGCUAAUACCGGCCUGUUCGUUCCAUAGAGAAUGCAGAAAGGCAUUGCUGACUGAUAUCACAUUGGAAGGCAGUAGACACCCUGAUGUGCGUAUCUGUGCUUCACUGCUGUCAGCAAUCAGCUCGGUGUUUAGCUUGAGCUGAUUAAAACAAACAGGUAAGUUAACUAUUUACAUAUAUGGCACCUGUACUGGGCAAAGUACUCAGAAUUAAUGAAUAAAUCAAUAUAUUGGACAUUUGCACAAUAACCUGUUCAUUACUGGUGACAGUAUAGAUUCAAUGUUCAAAGACUUCCUAACCUUCUUGAUGAUUGUGGCUAGUAGCUAACUACCCAACAUUGGAAGACGGCUACCAACCUGAAUUU